rnacentral:lncRNA from 1 species
AAGGACCCUUGGGGCCCAACAGCACAAUAAAGCUAUUGAAAGUCCUUUUACACGAAACUAGGUCAUAUAAGGCCCAAUAACAUGUAAGCGCGUUCCCUUCGGGCCUAAAGAUCAUGUCAUUGGGCUAGCUAGGCCCAACAAGCACGAUUUGAAACUUUUGAGCCCAAAGAUGGUGUAUUGACUUCUNACAGCACAAUAAAGCUAUUGAAAGUCCUUUUACACGAAACUAGGUCAUAUAAGCCCCAAUAACAUGUAACCGCGUUCCCUUCGGGCCUAAAGAUCAUGUCAUUGGGCUAGCUAGGCCCAACAAGCACGAUUUGAAACUUUUGAGCCCAAAGAUGGUGUAUUGACUUCUCGCGAAUUUUCCAUGUGUGUAUUGAAGUACCAUCGUUUAUUGAUUUUUGAUUUGUUAUUGAUUCGAGACCGAAUCAAUUCGUUUGAUAACGAUUUUGGUGUUGAAGGUGUAUUUAUUAUUACGUUUCGCCGGUAGACGUAGUACUAGUAUUUUUAUCUUAAGGGAUUUUUUGUUUUAAGAAUUAGAUUUUAUCUUUUUAAUCCCUUUCUUGGAUAAAAUUUACACUUUUAACCCUUUGUGUAUAAAAGAAUUUCCAUUUUAGUCCUUAAACUAUUUUUCUUGACACUUUAGUAUCAAAACUUGUUGGAAAGACAUUUUUAGCACAAAUUUACUUGAUAAACAGCUUAAGUCCUUCAAAAAUGAAAUUUUCUCGGUUGAAACCUCCAUUUUCGCAACUUUUACAAUUUUGGCCCAAAAAGGAAAAUUUUUGCAUCUUUGGCCCCUUUUUAAUUUGAAAAGCAUUUUUGACCCUUGAAAUGAACUUGGUACACUAGAAAUCCCCUGUUUUACAGAAAUGUGCAGUUUCAGCCCCUCCAAAUCAAAAUUUUCACAAUUUGGGGCUUUAUUGGGCCGAAAAGCCCAUUUUGGCCCAUUAUGUUUAAAAUUCAUAUUUUUAACCCCUCAAAAGUGUUGAUAUUCAGAAAAUACACAUUAGA